UACGUAGGGGGCUAGCGUUGUCCGGAUUUAUUGGGCGUAAAGAGCGUGUAGGCGGCCAUGUAGGUCCGGUGUGAAAACUCGAGGCUUAACCUCGAGAUGUCGGCGGAAACUGUCUGGCUAGAGUCCGGAAGAGGAGAGUGGAAUUCCUGGUGUAGCGGUGAAAUGCGCAGAUAUCAGGAAGAACACCUAUGGCGAAGGCAGCUCUCUGGGACGGUACUGACGCUGAGACGCGAAAGCGUGGGGAGCGAACAGG
rnacentral:rRNA from 1 species